UACGAAGGGGGCUAGCGUUGUUCGGAAUUACUGGGCGUAAAGCGCACGUAGGCGGAUUUGUUAGUCAGGGGUGAAAUCCCGGGGCUCAACCUCGGAACUGCCUUUGAUACUGCAAGUCUUGAGUCCGGAAGGGGUGAGUGGAAUUCCUAGUGUAGAGGUGAAAUUCGUAGAUAUUAGGAGGAACACCAGUGGCGAAGGCGACUCACUGGUCCGGUACUGACGCUGAGGUGCGAAAGCGUGGGGAGCAAACAGG
rnacentral:rRNA from 1 species